rnacentral:rRNA from 1 species
CGCGUACACGACCUACCUUAGAGAGGAGGAUAGCCCUGGGAAACUGGGAGUAAUACUCCAUAGUAUUGAAUUAUUACGAUUUUUCAAUUAAAGGUUUCGGCCGCUCUAUGAUGGGUGUGCGUCUUAUUAGCUAGUUGGUAAGGUAACGGCUUACCAAGGCAACGAUGAGUAGGGGGCGUGAGAGCGUGAUCCCCCACACGGGUACUGAGACACGGACCCGACUCCUACGGGAGGCAGCAGUAAGGAAUAUUGGACAAUGGGGGCAACCCUGAUCCAGCCAUCCCGCGUGUAGGAAGACUG